AUAGGGUGACGCUAAAGAACCAACCAAUACGUUCGGAAGGUGGGUGGAGUGUAGGCCAGGGGGUUGGCGGUGCCGUGUCAUGGAGGCUCAGUCUCUGAGCAGCCAUUGAAGGGGAAGGAACUGCUGGGUUGGGGGGUAGUGGGAAGAGCAGGAAAGGGGAAAGGAGGAGAGUAGGAGCAGAAGAGCAGGAGGAGGACAUGGAGAUGAAGAAGAGGAUUAACAUGGAGUUAAGGAACCGAGCC
rnacentral:lncRNA from 1 species